rnacentral:tRNA from 1 species
UAGGAUGUAGCUCAGUGUUAGAAUGCAUGUCUAGUACGCAUGAGGCCCUGGGUUUGGUACCCAGCAUUGCAA